rnacentral:rRNA from 1 species
CAACUCUUGACAUCCCCCUGACCGGUACAGAGAUGUACCUUCCCCUUCGGGGGCAGGGGUGACAGGUGGUGCAUGGUUGUCGUCAGCUCGUGUCGUGAGAUGUUGGGUUAAGUCCCGCAACGAGCGCAACCCUUGUCCUUAGUUGCCAGCAUUUGGUUGGGCACUCUAGGGAGACUGCCGGUGACAAACCGGAGGAAGGUGGGGAUGACGUCAAAUCAUCAUGCCCCUUAUGAGUUGGGCUACACACGUGCUUCAAUGGACGGUACAAAGGGCAGCGAAGCCGCGAGGUGGAGCCAAUCCCAGAAAGCCGUUCUCAGUUCGGAUUGCAGGCUGCAACUCGCCUGCAUGAAGUCGGAAUCGCUAGUAAUCGCAGGUCAGCAUACUGCGGUGAAUACGUUCCC